CCCUUAGAUGUUCUGGGCCGCACGCGCGCUACACUGACGAAGUCAGCGAGCAUGUCCUACGCCGACAGGUGCGGGGAAUCUUGUCAAACUUCGUUGUGAUGGGGAUUGAUUAUUGAAAUUCUUGAUCAUCAACGAGGAAUUCCUAGUAAGCGCAAGUCAGCAGCUUGCGUUGAUUACGUCCCUGCCCUUUGUACACACCGCCCGUCGCUACUACCGAUUGAAUGGUUUAGUGAGAUCUUCGGAUUGGCGCCACUGCGGCUCAGCAAUGGGCUCGGUGGAUGCCGAAAAGUUGAUCAAACUUGAUCAUUUAGAGGAAGUAAAAGUCGUAACA
rnacentral:rRNA from 1 species